rnacentral:lncRNA from 1 species
GCUUGCAGGACGGGAGCCCUAGGGGCUGGUUGUCGCGCUCCACCAGAUCGUGACGGCUAUUGGACGUGGUGUAUCGGUUGCUAAGGCACGGUCUUGAGGGCUGUAGUCGGGCCAUGAACGUCAUCUCCAUCCACCAAUCGAGUUAUCCCCGUCUCUCAUCAAAAGAUCGGGCAAAAACCCUAGCGGGUACGCAUCAGUUGGUAAUCAGAGCAAGGUUCUUCGGUGAGAGACUUCUAAUCCUUUGUUGUUUUUAAUUAAUUUCCUACAGUCCAGAAAAGCCAAAAAAAUAUAGUAGAUUAGUUUUUCCAUAAUCCUAUUAAACCUUUGUGCCUUGGCUAGUAUCGUUUUAGUUAGGGCUUGUUCAAUUUGCGUUGCUUCGGUUUGUGUCGAGUUGCUGGUCUUAGUGUCGAGUCCUUUAGAGUUUCGAGUUCUUGUCACCAUCUAUACACAGCCGAGUUUUACCAUAUCUUCUCUCUGUCGAAUCUGUUGCGAAGUCCGAAUUGAACUGUGGUCUUGGUCCAGAUCGAGUAGAGUUCCAAUCUGAGUUCCACCAACGUGAUAAAAAAAGAAGGAAACCGAGUAGAACUCGGCAAUAGGUGGAAUCCGUUUUGUGGUUGGUUCUGAGUGGAAACCGAAUAGAACUUGGAGUCCGCUUGUUAAUACAGCCUUAACUCCGUCUAUGUGAGUCCUUCUGUGAUCCAAAAAGAAAGAUAACUCCAUACUUGUUCGGCCUUACCGGAAUACCCCUGUACUUUCGGAAAAAAAGUGUGUGUAGCGAAUUGCUCUUUUGUAUUCUUUUGUUCAUAUAAUCCGUUUUUGAGGUUGCCCAAAAAAAAGAAAAAAAAGAAAAGAGAAAAGAUUCAAAAAAAGGGGCUGUUUUUCAUAUUGAUUUUAGGUUUGUUCCACCUUGUUUUCGGGGGUGUGCUGUGGUUUUCCUUUGUGUCCAGGCUCGCGUCUCUAGCACGGUCUAGCCUAGGACCAGCAUAGUACCAUCGUCGAAUGCUUAUUCAGCUCGCUUUUAUAACUAGAUGGUGCUAGUUCGUUCCUUGUUUCAGCCCACCUAUAGCUCCACAUACUCUACAGCUUGACAGGUCUUGUGCUGCAGCACCGAUACACUUCGUCCAUUGCUGUACACUUGUUGGCAGACGACCCCUCCUGUCAAGCAAGGUAAGAAUUGGUAAGAACUUGUGUUACAGGUUGAGUGUGAGCGACUUGCUGUAUCUACAUCCUAGUAGUUGUAGGGCUUUUAUUUCUUCACUUGCCUUUUUGUUGUCUUUGUCUUUGAACCAUGCCAGGGGCAGAUGAUGGUAACGAAACACCACAUACACCUCGCACUAAGGGCAUCAUACAACAUUUUGAAAGGAAAGUGAAGCUGCACACAGAGGGACUUGAUAACGACUUGUAGGUGACAAAUGAAAAGCUGGGGCAGUUGGAGGCUACGCAGAUUGCCACAAACAACAAGCUCACAAGUUCGGAGGAAUCCAUUGCUAGUGUGGACAAAAGCCUUGCUGCUCUCCUAAGGCGAUUUGAUGAUUUCCACACCGAAGAUAAAGAGAAGCAUAAAGAAGAAAAGGAGGGAGAUCGAGAGCAUGGUAGUCAUGAAGAUGACUACACUGGUGAUACUGAACAUGAUGAUCAAGACUCUCGUGAUCGACGUCGCCUUCGUCACAACCGUAGAGGUAUGGGUGGCAACCGCCGACGCGAGGUACACAAUAAUGAUGAUGCUUUCAGUAAGAUUAAAUUUAAGAUACCUCCUUUUGAUGGUAAAUAUGACCCUGAUGCUUACAUCACUUGGGAGAUUGCUGUUGAUCAAAAGUUUGCAUGUCAUGAAUUUCCUGAGACUACACGUGUUAGGGCUGCUACUAGUGAGUUUACAGAUUUUGCUUCUGUUUGGUGGAUAGAAUAUGGAAAGAAAAAUCCUAAUAACUUACCUAGAACUUGGGAUGCGCUGAAAAGGGCCAUGAGAGCUAGAUUUGUUCCAUCUUACUAUGCGCGUGAUAUGAUAAAUAAGUUGCAGCAAUUAAGACAAGGUGCUAAAAGUGUAGAAGAAUAUUAUCAGGAAUUACAAACGGGUAUGUUGCGUUGUAACCUAGAGGAGGAUGAGGAACCGGCUAUGGCUAGAUUUUUGGGUGGGUUAAAUCGGGAAAUUCAGGACAUCCUCGCUUACAAAGAAUACAAUAAUGUAACCCGUUUGUUUCAUCUUGCUUGUAAAGCUGAAAGGGAAGUGCAGGGACGACGUGCUAGCGCAAGGAGUAAUAUUUCUGCAGGGAAGGCUAAUUCAUGGCAGCAACGCAUGGCUUCAACUCCAUCUACACGUAUUUCUACUCCAUCAUCUAGUGACAAGACUCGAGCUGCCCCCACCAAUUCAGUUGCGAAGACGAUGCAAAAGCCUGCUGCGAGUACUUCAUCCGUGGCAUCCACGGGUAGAACAAGCAACAUACAAUGUCACCGGUGCAAGGGAUAUGGGCACAUGAUGCGUGACUGUCCAAACAAGCGAGUUAUGAUUGUCAGGGAUGAUGGUGAGUACUCAUCUGCUAGUGAUUUUGAUGAGGAUACACUUGCACUGCUUGCGACUGACCAUGUAGGUAAUGAAGAUCAAAUAGAAGAACAUAUUAAUGCAGGUGAAGCGGACCACUAUGAGAGCUUGAUCGUGCAGCGAGUGCUUAGUGCACAAAUGCAGAUGGCGGAGCAAAAUCAGCGACACAUUUUAUUCCAAACAAAGUGUGUCAUCAAAGAGCGUUCUUGUCGCAUGAUCAUUGAUGGAGGUAGCUGCAACAACUUGGCAAGCAGCGAUAUGGUGCAGAAGCUUGCCCUCAACACCAAACCACACCCGCAUCCCUACUACAUCCAAUGGCUGAACAACAGUGGUAAGGCAAAGGUAACUAGACUUUUGAGAAUUAAUUUUUCCAUCGGAUCCUACAAAGAUAUUGUUGAAUGUGAUGUUGUGCCAAUGCAAGCUUGUAACAUUCUGCUAGGUAGACCUUGGCAAUUUGAUAGUGAUUCUAUGCAUCAUGGUAGAUCAAAUCAGUAUUCUUUUAUAUACCAUGAUCGCAAAAUUGUGUUGCAUCCUAUGUCCCCUGAAACUAUUAUGCAAACUGAUGUUGCUAGGGCUACUAAAGCAAAGAGCGAGAGCAAUAAAAAUGAUAAAUCUGUAAUAGGUAACAAAGAUGAGAUAAAACUGAAAGGACGUUGUAUGAUAGCUACCAAAUCAGAUAUUAAUGAGUUCAAUGCAUCCACUUCUGUUGCUUAUGCUUUGAUAUGCAAGGAUGCUUUGAUUUCAAUUGAGGAUAUGCAAUGUUCUUUGCCCCCUGCUGUUGCUAACGUUUUGUAGGAGUAUUCUGAUGUGUUUCCAAGUGAGGUACCAGCGGGGCUACCUCCACUACGCGGGAUUGAGCACCAAAUUGAUCUUAUUCCUAGAGCAGUUUUGCCAAAUUGUGCACCAUACAGGACAAACCGGGAGGAAACAAAGGAAAUUCAGCGACAAGUGCAAGAACUACUAGACAAAGGUUAUGUCCGAGAAUCUCUUAGUCUUUGUGCUGUUCCAGUAAUUUUAGUGCCUAAGAAAGAUGGAACAUGGCGUAUGUGUGUUGAUUGUAGAGCUAUUAAUAAUAUCACCAUUCGAUAUCGACACCCUAUUCCACGAUUAGAUGAUAUGCUAUAUGAGCUGAGUGGUGCUGUUGUGUUUUCAAAAGUUGAUUUACGUAGUGGGUACCACCAGAUUCGUAUGAAAUUGGGAGAUGAAUGGAAAACUGCUUUCAAAACUAAGUUCGGUUUGUAUGAGUGGUUAGUCAUGCCUUUUGGGUUAACUAAUGCACCUAGUACUUUCAUGAGAUUAAUGAACGAGGUUUUGCAUGCUUUCAUUGGGAAAUUUGUUGUCGUAUAUUUUGUUGACAUAUUGAUUUACAGCAAAUCAUUGGAUGAACAUCUUGAUCAUUUACGUGCUGUUUUUAAUGCACUACGCGAGGCACGUUUAUUUGGUAACCUUGAGAAGUGCACCUUUUGCACCGAUCGAGUGUCUUUUCUUGGUUAUGUUGUGACUCCACAAGGAAUUGAGGUUGAUCAAGCCAAGGUGGAAGCUAUACAGGGAUGGCCUGUCCCAAAUACUAUCACCCAGGUGCAGAGUUUCCUAGGACUUGCUGGAUUCUAUCGCCGUUUUGUGAAGGAUUUCAGCACCAUUGCUGCACCAUUGAAUGAGCUUACAAAGAAGGGGGUGCCUUUUGAUCGGGGCAAAGCACAAGAGAAUUCAUUCAACAUGUUGAAAGAUAAGUUAACUCAUGCACCUCUCCUACAACUUCCUAAUUUUAAUAAGACAUUUGAGCUUGAAUGUGAUGCUAGUGGAAUUGGUUUGGGAGGUGUUUUAUUACAAGAGGGAAAACCUAUUGCAUAUUUUAGUGGGAAAUUGAGUGGGCCUGUUCUCAAUUAUUCAACUUAUGAUAAAGAACUCUAUGCUCUUGUUAGAACAUUAGAGACAUGGCAGCAUUAUUUGUGGUCCAAAGAGUUUAUUAUCCAUUCUGAUCAUGAAUCUUUGAAACAUAUUCGUAGCCAAGGAAAACUGAAUCGUAGGCAUGCAAAAUGGGUUGAAUUUAUUGAAUCUUUUCCUUAUAUUAUUAAGCACAAGAAAGGGAAGGAAAAUAUUAUUGCUGAUGCUUUAUCACGGAGAUAUACUUUGCUGAAUCAACUUGAUUAAAAGAUAUUUGGGUUAGAAACAAUUAAAGACCAAUAUGUUCAUGAUGCUGAUUUUAGAGACGUGUUGCUGCAUUGUGAUGCGGACAUCAACACCAGCGAUACAUAUCCUACAUCCACCAGCGAUACAUAUCCUACAUCCUCUCCGACACAACCUAUAGCUGGUCCUCUUACUCGUGCUCGUGCCCGUCAACUCAACCUUCAAGUAAGUUCAGUUUUAAACUCUUGUCAAUCAUAUUUAGACAAUGGAGACACGUGCACUUUCGUGUUGCUCAGGAAUAAUGGACAAGAUCAGCAAGGGAAGGUUCAACUGCAUUCAGAAUUUGAGCAACACCAACUUCAAGGGCUGAUUGCAUAUGGGAAGAGUGAUAACUUAACAAAGGUGAUUGGAGAUCAGGUCCAAGCCUCCACAACAUCCUCUAUCAAGUUACCACGUCGCUUCUAAAGCAAGGAAACAAAGAGUCCAAACCCAACACGUUUUGGGUGUUGGAUUCGGACUGGAAAAUAACUCUAACUUGUAUGGAUCACCACGGCGUCAUAUGGACUCCAACUGGGAUGUUCCUAUACUUGUUGGAAAGCUCAUGAAGUCUACUUUCCAAUGGGUCCAACCACAUAUCUAUGCAGCUUAUGAGUCAGGCGCAGUCCUUGUUUUCGUGCCGACACCUUUUUCUGUUUUGGUGCUGCGUCACCCUAUUUUGGACCAAUGGCCCAUGUAUCAAGUUGAGUCCAUUAGGGACGCGUCCUAGGGUUGGAGGACAACUCUAGCACCCCUUUGGUCGUCCUCCCCUCUAUUUAUUUACAUCUAGAGCCGCCAUGAACAACUGGGUUUUGAUUAGAUAAAGUUUAGCCUUCGCUACUUGCUUGUAAACGCGCGUGCUGAUCCAGCCGCCCGUCUUCUUGUUUUCGAAACCCCACUUCAUUAGAGAUUGAGUUUGAAACCUUCAUUUACAUCUAGUAAUUUAGUACUUGUUCUACUUGUUCUUGCUGGUUCUUCGAUUGCUUGCAGGACGAGUGCCCUAGUGGCCGGGUGUUGCGCUCCACAAGAUCGUGACAGCCAUUAGAGGCGGUGUAUCGGUUGCUAAGGCGCGGUCUUGAGGGCUGUAGUCGGGCCGUGAACGUCAUCUCCAUCCACCAAUCGAGUUAUCCAGCGCCUCUCAUCGAAAGAUCGGGCGAAAACCCCAGCGGGUUUACAUCAGUUGGUAAUCAGAGCAAGGUUCUUCGGUGAGAGACUUCUAAUCCUUUGCUGUUUUAAAUUAAUUUCCUAUAGUCCAGAAAAGCCAAAAAAAAUAUAGUAGAUUAGUGUUUCCAUAAUCCUAUUAAACCUUUGUGCCUUGGCUAGUACCGUUUUAGUUAGGGCUUGUUGAAUUUGCGUUGCUUCGGUUUGUGUCGAGUUGCUGGUCUUAGUGUCUAGUCCUUUAGAGUUUCGAGUUCUUGUCACCAUCUAUACACAGCCAAGUAUUACCAUAUCUUCUCUCUGUCGAAUCUGUUGUGAAGUCCGAAUUGAACUGUGAUCCAAAAAGAAAGAUAACUCCAUACUUGUUCGGCCUUACUCUAGAGAGAGAGAGUGUGUGUAGCGAAUUGCUCUUUUGUAUUCCUUUGUUCAUAUAAUCAGUUUUUGAGGUUGCCCAAAAAAAAAGAAAAAAAAGAAAAAAAAGAAAGAAAAGAGAAAAGAUUCAAAAGAAAAAAAAGGGGGUGUUUUUCAUAUUGAUUUUAGGUUUCUUCCACCUUGUUUUCGGGGGUGUGCUGUGUUUUCCCUUUGUGUCCAGGCUCGCGUCUCUAGCACGGUCUAGGCUAGGACCAGCACAGUACCACCGUUGAGCGUUUAUUCAGCUCGCUUUUAUAACUAACGUGGUGCUAGUUCGUUCCUUGUUUCAGCCCACC